rnacentral:lncRNA from 1 species
AAGAAGCUAGCUAGCUAACAAAGAAUAUCUAGUUAACAGAAGAAAAGAAAGACAAAAUAAGACAAAAUAAGGACAGAAGACAAAGGACAUCAAAGUAAAACAGUCCUCUAUAGACACAAGAGACAAUAAUACAAGAAACAAUGCUGUUUUGGAAAAGGUAGGCUUCUAUUGCAACUUUGUAGCCAACAUCACCAGCGUUGCUAUGGAAAUUGUUUACCCACCAGACAUCCAAACAGAGAAAGCUAAGAAAAGUUUCAAAGGUUUGAUGAUGGCUCAGAACCAUAAAUGCCUGUUUGCAGAUAUUACCAGUUGCAAAACAAGAGCAAAUUUUAUAUUUAAUACCAAAUGAGGGCACAUAUGGAAAAGGGUUAUUUGCAACCAUUUCCCUUUCUCAAAAAAGAGAGGCAUCAGCCAAGGAUGUCAUAUCAGCAUUUUUGAAGAAGCUGACCAGAGCAACAUGUAUCAAACAGUAAACUUCUACAAUAAUGGAACUGUAUUGAUACAAGGCAAUGAUUCAAGCCCCCAGGCUUUUGAGAAUAGGUUUGCUACCCUAAAAGCAGAAGCUGAACUCAUCUCAGAAACUGAGGAAAAAGAAAAGGAGGGCGAUGGAGAAAAGCAGGCCCCAACGGUCUCUGUGACCCAGCAAGAAGCCCUUACUGUCCCUCUACCUACCUCACCUGCAGCAGACAGAGCCAAGGACAUGCCUACAACACCAAGAACACCUGCUAUGCAACGUUUCCACAACACCCUCUCUGUAGUCGAAGCAGAGGUCAUAGAACUCAGAGAGAACAAGCUUCAAGAGAAUGACACUGUCCAGAAACUAAAAGAGAUGAAACAGUUCAGGAAGGAAAGCAGAGCAUCUAUUGCUAAAUUAGAAAGCAGAAUGGACAAACUGAGUCAGACAACUGAUGACCUCAGAGACCAUCUGAGCACAACAAGAGAGGAGCUAGAACAAAGAGAGAGGUACAUUGACCCCCUCAACCACCAGCUAGUCAUUAUGUCCUCUGCAUCUAGAGAACAUGUCCACCAGCUUGGUACAACACAAGAAGAACCUGAGACCAGCAUGGCCUCCACCACACAGCCUGAUGACACUGCACCAGCGUCCCAGUCUGCUCCAGCCCAGAUCAGCCUCCCAGUCUGCUCCAGCCCAUGUCAGCCUCCCAGUCUGCUCCAGCCUAUGUCAGCCACCCAGUCUGCUCCAGCCCAGAUCAGCCUCCCAGUCUGCUCCAGCCCAGGACCUGAGCCCUAGGACCAUGCCUCAGGACUACCUGGUAUGAUGACUCCUUGCUGUCCCCAGUCCACCUGGCCGUGCUGCUGCUCCAGUUUCAACUGUUCUGCCUGCGGCUAUGGAACCCUGACCUGUUCACCGGACGUGCUUGUUGCACCCUCGACAACUACUAUGAUUAUUAUUAUUUGACCAUGCUGGUCAUUUAUUAACAUUUUAACAUUUUGACCAUGUUCUGUUAUAAUAUCCACCCUGCACAGCCAGAAGAGGACUGGCCACCCCUCAUAGCCUGGUUCCUCUCUAGGUUUCUUCCUAGGUUUUUGGCCUUUCUAGGGAGUUUUUCCUAGCCACCGUGCUUCUUUCACAUGCUUUGCUUGCUGUUUGGGGUUUUAGGCUGGGUUUCUGUACAGCACUUUGAGAAUAUCAGCUGAUGUACGAAGGGCUAUAUAAAAAUAAAUUUGAUUGAUUUGAGUUUAACCUCAUUCUCCUUACCUGCUGCGUAAUGUAAGUGUAAUGGCGUCGAAGGAGAUGGCCUCUGUUUUACGAUACCUUAACCAAUUGUGCAUCAAUACAGGACUAAGAUUGAAUCAUACUACACCGGCUCUGACGCUUGUUGGAUGUGGCAGGGCUUGCAAACUAUUACAGACUUCAAAGGGAAGCAAAGGCACGAGCUGCCCAGUGACCCAAACCUACCAGACGAGCUAAAUUACUUCUAUGCACGCUUCGAGGCAAGUAACACUGAAACAUGCAUGAGAGCACCAGCUGUUCUGGAUGACGCUGUGAUCACGCUCUCUGUAGCCGAUGUGAGUAAGACCUUUAAGCAGGUCAAUAUUCACAAGGCCGCAGGGCCAGACGGAUUACCAGGACGUGUACUCCGAGCAUGUGCUGACCAACUGGCAAGUGUCUUCACUGACAUUGUCAACCUGUCCCUGACUGAGUCUGUAAUACCAACAUGUUUCAAGCAGACCACCAUAGUCCCUGUGCCCAAGAACACUACGGUAACCUGCCUAAAUGACUACCGACCCGUAGCACUCACAUUUGUAGCCAUGAAGUGCUUUGAAAAGCUGGUCAUGGCUCACAUCAAUACCAUUAUUCCAGAAACACUAGACCCACUCCAAUUUGCAUACCGCCCCGACAUAUCCACAGACGAUGCAAUCUCUAUUGCACUCAACACUGCCCUUUCCCUCCUGGACAAAAAGGAACACCUAUGUGAGAAUGCUAUUCAUUGACUACAACUCAGCGUUCAACACCAUAGCGCCCUCAAAGCUCAUCACUAAGCUAAGGACCCUGGGACUAAACACCUCCCUCUGCAACUGGAUGCUGGACUUCCUGACGGGCCGCCCCCAGGUGGUAAGGGUAGGUAACAACACAUCAGCCACACUGAUCCUCAGCACGGGGGCCCCUCCGGGGUGCGUGCUCAGUCCCCUCCUGUACUCCCUGUUCACCUACAACUGCAUGGCCAGGCACGACUCCAACACCAUCAAGUUUGCCAAUGACACAGUAGGCCUGAUCACCAACAAUGAUGAGACAGCCUAUAGGGAGGAGGUCAGAGACCUGGCCAUGUGGUGCCAGGACAACAACCUCUCCCUCAACAUGAUCAAGACAAAGGAGAUGAUUGUGGACUACAGGAAAAUGGGGCUGCAGUGGAGUAGGUUGAGAACUUCAAGUUCCUUGGUGUCCACAUCACCAACAAACUGUCAUGGUCCAAACACACUAAGACAGUCGUGAAGAGGGCACGACAAAGCCUAUUCCCCCUCACGAGACUGACAAGAUUUGGCAUAGGUCCUCAGAUCCUCAAAAGUUUCUACAGCUGCACCAUCAAGAGCAUCCUGACUAGUUGCAUCACUGCCUGGUAUGGCAAAAUCUCAAGGCACUACAGAGGGUAGUGCGUACAGCCCAGUACAUCACUGGGGCCAAGCUUCCCGCCAUCCAGGACCUCUAUACCAGGCGGUGUCAGAGGAAGGUCCUAAAAAUUGUCAAAGACUCCCGCCACGCUAGUUAUAGACUGUUCUCUCUGUUACCGCACGGCAAGCGUUACCGGAGUCCAAAAAGGCUUCUUAACAGCUUCUACCCCCCCAAGCCAUAAGACUCCUGAAAAGCUUCUACCCCCCCAAGCCAUAACAUUUACAUUUACGUCAUUUAGCAGACGCUCUUAUCCAGAGCGACUUACAAAUUGGUGCAUUCACCUUAUGAUAUCCAGUGGAACAACCACUUUACAAUAGUACAUCUAUAUAUUUUUUGGGGGGGAGGGUAGGGGGGAGGGUUAGAAGGAUUACUUUAUCCUGUCCCAGGUAUUCCUUAAAGAGGUGGGGUUUCAGGUGUCUCCGGAAGGUGGUGAUUGACUCCGCUGUCCUGGCAUCGUGAGGGAGCUUGUUCCACCAUUGGGGUGCCAGAGCAGCGAACAGUUUUGACUGGGCUGAGCGGGAACUGUGCUAUCGCAGAGGUAGGGAGGCGAGCAGGCCAGAGGUGGAUGAAUGCAGUGCCCUUCUUUGGGUGUAGGGACUGAUCAGAGCCUGAAGGUACAGAGGUGCCGUUCCCCUCACAGCUCCAUAGGCAGGCAUCAUGGUCUUGUAGCAGAUGCGAGCUUCAACUGGAAGCCAGUGGAGUGUGCGGAGGAGCGGGGUGACGUGAGAGAACUUGGGAAGGUUGAACACCAGACGGGCUGCAGCGUUCUGGAUGAGUUGUAGGGGUUUGAUGGCACAGGCAGGGAGCCCCGCCAGCAGCGAGUUGCAGUAAUCCAGACGGGAGAUGACAAGUGCCUGGAUUAGGACCUGCGCCUCUUCCUGUGUAAGGCAGGGUCGUACUCUGCAAAUGUUGUAGAGCAUGAACCUACAGGAUCGGGUCACCGCCUUGAUGUUAGCGGAGAACGACAGGGUGUUGUCCAGGGUCACGCCAAGUCUCUUAGCACUCUGUGAGGAGGACACAAUGGAGUUGUCAACCGUGAUGGCGAGAUCAUGGAACGGGCAGUCCUUCCCCGGGAGGAAGAGCAGCUCCGUCUUGCCGAGGUUCAGGAGGGAGGAGAAGGUGGCAAAGAGCUUCCUAGGGUUAGAGGCAGAUGCUUGGAAUUUAGAGUGGUAGAAAGUGUCUUUUGCAGCAGAAACAGAGGAAGAAAAUGUGGAGAGGAGGGAGUGAAAAGAUGCCAGGUCCGCAGGGAGGCUAGUUUUCCUCCAUUUCCGCUCGGCUGCCCGGAGCCUUGUUCUGUGAGCUCGCAAUGAGUCGUCAAGCCACGGAGCAGGAGGGGAGGACCGAGCCGGCCGGGAGGAUAGGGGACAUAGAGAGUCAAAGGAUGCAGAAAGGGAGGAGAGGAGGGUUGAGGAGGCAGAAUCAGGAGAUUGGUUGGAGAAGGAUUGAGCAGAGGGAAGAGAUGAUAGGAUGGAAGAGGAGAGAGUAGCAGGAAAGAGAGAGCGAAGGUUGCGACGGCGCAAUACCAUCUGAGUAGGGGCAGAGUGAGUAGUGUUGGAGGAGAGCGAGAGGGAAAAGGAUACAAGGUAGUGGUCGAAGACUUGGAGGGGAGUUGCAGUGAGAUUAGUAGAAGAACAGCAUCUAGUAAAGAUGAGGUCAAGCGUAUUGCCUGCCUUGUGAGUAGGGGGGGACGGUGAGAGGGUGAGAGGGUGAGGUCAAAAGAGGAGAGGAGUGGAAAGAAGGAGGCAGAGAGAAAUGAGUCAAAGGUAGACGUAGGGAGGUUAAAGUCACCCAGAAUUGUGAGGGGUGAGCCAUCCUCAGGAAAGGAACUUAUCAAGGCGUCAAGCUCAUUGAUGAACUCUCCAAGGGAACCUGGAGGGCGAUAAAUGAUAAGGAUGUUAAGCUUGAAUGGGCUAGUGACUGUGACAGCAUGGAAUUCAAAGGAGGAGAUAGACAGAUGGGUCAGGGGAGAAAGAGAGAAUGUCCACUUGGGAGAGAUGAGGAUUCCAGUGUCACCACCCCUCUGACCAGAUGCUCUCGGGGUAUGCGAGAACACAUGGUCAGACGAGGAGAGAGCAGUAGGAGUAGCAGUGUUUUCUGUGGUAAUCCAUGUUUCCGUCAGCGCCAAGAAGUCGAGGGACUGGAGGGUAGCAUAGGCUGAGAUGAACUCUGCCUUGUUGGCUGCAGACCGGCAGUUCCAGAGGCUGCCGGAGACCUGGAACUCCGGGUGGGUCGUGCGCGCUGGGACCACCAGGUUAGUGUGGCAGCGGCCAUGCGGUGUGAAGCGUUUGUGUGGCCUGUGCAGAGAGGAGAGAACAGGGAUAGACAGACACAUAGUUGACAGGCUACAGGAGAGGCUACGCUAAUGCAAAGGAGAUUGGAAUGAAAAUUAACUAAACAACUGGGGAAGCGAGAGAGCAGGGCCUCCCUCACUAACCAUUCACUGAAACACUCAAAUAUAACUUUUCCAACUUCCACUUAGAAAUUAUAAUUCCUAAACAGCUUCUACCCCCAGGCCAUACGACUCCUGAACAGCUAAUCAAGGGGUUACCCAGACCCCUCUUUUACACUGCUGCUACUCUGUUUAUUAUCUAUGCUUGGUCACGUUAAGUCUACCUACAUGUACAUAUUACUUCAAUUACCUCGACUAACCAGUGCCCCCACACAUUGACUCUGUACUGGUACCCCCGUAUAUAGCCUCGCUAUUUCUAUUGUUAUUUUACUGCUGCUGUUGAAUUACUUUAUUUAAAAUUUUUAGAUUUUUUUUCAAAUGUUUACUUAUCUGUUUUUUACUUACACAUUUUUCUUAACUUAAAGCAUUGUUAGUUAACGGCUUGUAAGUAAGAAUUUCACUAAGAUCUACACCUG